AGCUCCCUGGGCUCUACAGAAGUUUGUCUUUUAUCUAUCUUUAUACAUAGUAGUUAAUAUUUGUAAAUCUCAAAUUCCCAAUUUAUCUUUUAUCAUCUUUCUCCCCAUAACCAUAAGAUUGCUUACUAUGUCUGUGAGUCUGUUUCUGUUUUGUAGGUGAGUUCAUUAGUGUCUUCUUUUUUCUUUUUUUUAGAUUCCACAUAUGAGUAAUAUCAUAUGGUAUUUUUCUUUCUCUAUCUGGCUUGCUUCAUUUAGAAGGACAAUCUCCAGGUCCAUCCAUGUUGCUGCAAAUGGCAUUAUUUUAUUCUUUUUUUAUGGCUGAGUAGUAUUCCAUUGUAUAAAUACACCACAACUUUUUCACCCAGUCAUCUGUUGAUGGACAUUUAGGUUGCUUCCAUGUCUUGGCUAUUGUAAAUAGUGCUGCUGUGAACAUUGGGGUGCAGGUGUCUUUUUGAAUUAGAGUUCCCUCCGGAUAUAUGCCCAGGCGUGGGAUUGCUGGAUCAUAUGGUAAGUCCAUUUUUAGUUUGUUGGGGAAUCUCCAUACUGUUUUCCAUAAUGGCUGCACCAAACUGCAUUCCCACCAAUAGUGUAGGAGGGGGAACCACAUUUUUCUAUAUUUCACUUCUAUUAAAAUCAUUUAAAGGAGUCAUGCGACAGUUCUCUUCACAGCAUCUCUACUGUUUGUUGCAAAUUAGAUAAUUUGUAACUAUAAAGACUUAAGGUGAAAAAAGAUAUCAACUUGAAAUGUUGUAGGUUUUUUUCAAAGUUACUUUAGGGAAAUGCGAACAAAAAAUUUGAAGACAACUGAGCUAAAUAUGACUAAGAGGGUAUCUGGAAUUGCAGAAUUUUUUUAAGGUGAGUGAAAGUUUGGCCUGUUGGAAAGGAAGCAAGAACGAAGGGGAGGCUGCAGAUGUGAGAGGACCGCCUGAUCCUGAGAUCCCCGUGGGGUGGAAUGGAUGGCGUGUGUGGAGGGACCCAGGUGGGAUGGAGGAACAGGUGGGUGCAGGAAGGCUUGCGGUCUGGUAGUGAGAAAUGUUGGGAGUUCCUGGGCCCUGACGAAGCAGAAAGUGAGGGGAGGUGGUGGGGCCGAACGCUGGCGAGAAUGAAGGUUUGCAGAGCUGCCGUGGGUCCAGGGUGCCGACAGUAGUGUGCGUGUAGUGAGAUGGGACACCACUGAUGCUCUCUCACAGGCCUGGGUGUCCCUCUGGGCACUUAUCACAGCUGCACCUGCGCUUUUUUGAUGAUCUGAUUGACAUCUAUCUCCCUCAGCAAACUGGGAGCGGCAUGUGGGCCACUGUCUGUCUAGUCCCAGCACCCAGCCCAGUGUCCGGCUACCUGUUGAAGGGAGGGACGGCUGACAAGGUGUCGGUGUCAUCAGAGCACAGCCCUGUGAAAGCCACGAUGAGCCCUGGUGACUGUUUCCGAGAUGGCAGCUGCUUUGCAAAGCUUUCCGCUCUGCCCGGCUGCCUCCUGGGCCCUGCGCCGUUGGUUUGCCUCAUGUAACGCACCUGCAGCCGCCAGGGUGAGGAUCUCCUGCUGGGGGCUCCCCGCCGUCUCAGGCCGUGGCCCAGACUUCUCUGGGAGACACACGAGGACUCCGCAACAGGUGACCCUUCAGCAUCGGUGAAGCAGGAAGAAGUUCCCAGAGGUGCUCCUUCCCGGCUCCAGGCUGGUGCACACACACUGGCUCCCUCUCAGAACAGCCUUCCAGCCCACGCCCACCGUGAGCUGCCGCCAGAAGCCUCCUCCAGGAAGCCUUCUCUGAACACCCUUCUGCUCCCACGGUCGCUCUGGGCCCGGAGCUGUAGCUCCCUUGCUCACACGUCUGCCGAGGACAAGGGCCGAAGCGUCUCAUGGCUUCUGCCUUCCGCAGAUGCUCAGCGCUGAGCUUGCCGUAACGCAACACCAGACGGGUGGCUUAAUAACCGCAGAAACCCAUUCUCUCUCAGUCUGGGAUCGAGGUGUCGGCGGGGUGGGUCCCCUGCGGCCUCUCUCCUGGGCUUGCAGGCGGCCGCCCUCUUGUGUGACCGUCCUUCUGUGCACACGUGCCCCUGGGGUCGGUGUGUCCACAUUUCCUCCUCUCACACGGACACUCCCGUUAGAUUGGACUAGGGCCCACCCAACCGGCCUCACUCUAUUGAAAUCACCUCUUUAAAGGGCUUAUCUCCAAUACAGCCACAUUCUGAGGUGCUGGGA